rnacentral:lncRNA from 9 species
AUACAUUAACAUUAUGGACAUCUUUCCGUAGAUAACAACUAGAUUAACUUUUGGGGGGGGGAUAACAUCCCUUUUAUUUUGCAUCUGAAAAACACAGAAACCCCAAAAGGCAUGCACUCAAACCCUGCCACUUGCUUCUGGCCUUAUAAAAACUUAUUUUAAUGAAUGAAAAAGCAUGGGCCUGUGAAAAAUUAAAGCAGAGCCCAAAGGUGUCGAGGGAAGUCUCCUUCCCCCUCCUGUCCUCGUGUUUCUGUCCCCUGAGGCAGAGGCACAUAGGUCAGCUUUCCUCUCGGAGCUACUCUGGUCCUGUGCCCGCCUCAGGUGGACGUGGAUGUGUGUGUUCCUUUUGAAAACAAGUGCACACAUAGUGUCACUUUAUGUUUACAUUUUACAUCCCUCCUUUAAACUAUCUUCGGAGUUUUUUCUGGAAUAUAUAGAGCAGGGGUUAGCAAACUGCAGCCCACGGGCCAAAUCUCCUGUUCUAGGGUGUGCCAUUUAAGAGGGGUUUUUCUGGAGUUCCUGUUGUGGCUCAGUGGGUUAAGAACCCAACUGGUAUCCAUGAGGAUGAGGGUUCAAUCCCUGGCCCCACUCAGUAGGUUAAGGAUCCAGUCGGUGUUGCUAUGAACUGUAGCGUAGGUUGCAGACGUGGCUUGAAUCUGGGUUGCUGUGGCUGUGGUGUAGGCCGUCAGCUGCAGCUCCAAUUCGACCCCUAGCCUGGGAACUUCUAUAUGCUAUAGGUGAGGCUCUAAGAAGAAGGAAAAAAAAAGAAUGAUUUUUUUCUUUUUGUUGGUGGUUGGAAAAAAUAAAAAGACAAACAUUUUGUGACAGGGUAAAUUAUGUGAAAUCAAGUCGCACUGUCUGUAAGUAAAGUUUUAUUGGACUACAGCUAGGCCCCCACAUUCAGGUAUUGUCUGUGACUGUUGCAGGCUACAGCUGUGAAGUUGAGGAAUUGUGACAGAGGCCAGAAGAGCCUCUUUCUUUUUAACUUUGGCAUAACCUUCCAGGGUCAAGAAACGGGCCCAGAAAGGCUUAUAAGUUUGAGGGUCACACCAAGGUGGGCCUUAACCACCGCCCCCCCCCUUUGCCUAGCUCCCUGUUCUUGCUGAGUUACCCUGAUGCUGUUGUAGAAUGCAGUAGGAAAGUUGGGAUGGUUAAGGCUGCAGGCAGUUGGGCUGACUUUUGGCAUGAUUUUUUGACCUCUUUUUUGAUGCUUGGAGCCUAUAGCCCUUCGUACAAGGCUGCAGAGUUGCUGUAGCACCUUCUGUGAGGGGCUACGUAGUUUUCACAAUUUCUGCAAAGUCCCUUAGAACCCAUCUUGUUUCCCUCUUUGCUUUGGCUGUUAGGAAGCUCAGCCAAAUUUGAAGCCUCUCUUCAGCAAGACUGAUCUGAUCUAUGUUUUGGUUUUACCUAUUUCAUCCUAAUUUCAGAUUGGUUUGUCCCUGAUUUUUCUUUUUGUCUUGACCUUGCUCCCCUCUGAUUUUAUUUUAUGGUGUGCAUUCCUGAAAGUCAUCUCAGUUCUUGAGGGGAGGCUGGAGCAGACAGGAGUAGAGAAAGUGAAAAGUCUUGCAAGAUAUUUCCGUGUUUGUUCCCCCUGAAUGCAUGUGGGGUGGUGGGUACGUGAUUCCUGGAGGGAACCAAGGCCUGGCCCAGUGGAGUGUCUUAUACAAGGGCAGACCCUGGGCAAGAACCAGGGUCUUUGGGGGUUUUGGGUGGGACUUGGGAAGAUGGCAGUAAGUGACUUGGAAGGAAAAGGCUGAGGGGCCUCUGGGCUCACAUUCCAGCCUUGGUGCUCUGCUGAUGCUUUCAGAUGUUUCUGCUUUCUUCUGCUGACCCUGGGAUAUUUCUCUGAGCUGGAAAGGAAGUGGGGGAAAAAGUAACCCCCAUGUGGAAUCAGAUGAGAGUGACAGCCUGCUACCCGCUGGAGCGCACGUGUGGGUGUGUCUUCCCGGCCCUGGGGGGAGGGGGUGCUCAGAUUUCUGCCUCCUGUCUCCUGGGGUUGGCUUGGUUUUUCGUGCUGUGUUUGUGUUUCAGGGCUUGUGAAUGGAGCUUGGAUGAGGCACGGAGCGGAGUCCCAUGUCUGCCUCUCGCUGGCUAUGCGCUGCACCCUAGGACAAGUAAACAGAGCCUUGGUGCAGAGCUCCUCGGUUUACCCACCAGGGAAAUGGGGUGAUGAAUGAUGCAUGACCUCAGAGGGAGCUGGGGGACCAUUUGAGGCAUGAGUCAAUCCUGCAGGCCAGGUUCUAACCCCUGUCCUUCCCGUGCAUGGCUCAUAAACCCACGAAACCCACCCUUGUGCCAGGCAGGUGGGGCCAACAGCCUCCUUCCCAGAUGUCCCAAAGGGGCUCUAGACCUGAUCUGUCCCUAAGUGGACCCAUGGUUUCCCCCACACCCCAGAAUCCCAGCCUGGGCUUCCUUCUUGAGUAUGUGGCUGGGCCAGUGGCCUGGGGGUCACCCCAGCUGCCUUCCCCAUCUUCUCCCUGGCCUCCUAGCAUCCUGUUCCCAUAAUCCUGUCUGUGCCAGCAGCUGCCAGGUGGGGCCACCAUGGGUAAGUGACCCGACCUCACUCAGAGCCCCUUGAUCCCUCAGGGCUUCCCAGCACUUGUUGCAUGAAAUCCAGACCCUUCUUGAUGUCUUGGAGGCCUGUCUGCCCAGGUGCCUGCUGACCUCUGACCUCCUGUUGGCCGGCUGCCCCUGCAAUAACUGUGCUAUGGGGGGGCGGGGAGUGGAUUUUUCUUUGUGGCCCUGGGGGCCUCUGUGGGAGAUGCUGGCAGUCAAAAGUCCCCGAGGCCAGGCCCAAAGGUGCACGGAGUGGGCCCUGUGGUGAGGCAGUGCCUCGGGGGUCGCUGCUUGUCCUCAGGUUGAACUCCCAUGCCUGCCACAGACCCUCUGGGAGCAUCACCCAGCGCUGUGGUGCUGCUUCCGUGGCCAUGGCAACCGCCUGGCACCGGGGCCCUGCUCGUUAGGCUAACGAGGGAAGCCUGCUGGGCCGAGGUGGGGGGCCAGGGAUGAGCUGCCCCAGGGCUCAGCUGGGCUUGUCUGCCAGGCCUCCGGACCAGGAGUAGAGUAGGGGGGUGGUGCUGGCAGGGAUACUGCAGAGCCCAACCGAAGUCAGGUAUCCCCCAUGUCCUGGGGGCUCAGGCUAGGUUUGCAGGGUGGGAUUCUGGUGGGGUUUAUGUGUAGUGGUGUCUCCUGGGUAACCCCUAUGACCAGUGAAACCAGAGAGGACAAAAGUAGGGGGAGAGAUUGGAGGGUGGCCUGCUUUUCCUGCCCGUCUACCCCCACCAGUGCCAUCUCCCACCCUUUUAGGUAUUUUUUUUUAAUCAAAAAAAUUUUUUUUUUUCGAUUUGGCUGGCCCGUGGCAUAUGGAGUUCCCGGGCCAGGGAUCAGAUCUAAGCUACAGUCUAGACCUAAGCUGCAGCUGCGGCAACGCCGGAUCCUUAACCCACUGUGCUGGGCUGGGGAUUGAACCUGCGUCGCAGUGCUCCCAAGAUGCCACCAAUCCCGUUGCACCACAGUGGGAACUCCUUUUAAAUUUAAAAAAUUAAAAAAAAAUUAUAGUCGAUUUCCAAUAUUCUGUCAAUUUCUGCUGUACAGCCAAGUGCCCCAGUCAUACAUAUACAUACAUACUUUUUCUCAUACUAUCUUCCAUCAUGUUAUAUCACACGUGAUUGGAUGGAGUUCCCUCCUAGGUGUUUUUAACCAUUUUCACCUUUGCCCACCUCUGCUGCCCACACUCCAUCUCAGCCACUGUACUGGGUGGAAUAGUGUUUCUCCCCUCAACCCCUAUUCACACUCUUCCCAGAAUCUCAGGAGGAGACCUUAUUUGGAAAUAGGGUCCUUGCAGAUGUAAUUAGUUAAGAUGAGAUCAUGCUGGAGUAGCUCAGCCUUCAAUCCAAUGGUACUGGUGCCCUUUGAAGAAGAUGGAGGCCAUGUGCAGGCAGAGGCAGAGAUUGGAGUGAUGCAUAGGAACUCCGAGGAUGGUUGGCUUGGUCCAUGGAACAGACUCUCAGAGAGCUUCAGAAAGGAACCCACCCACCCACCAGAACCAUGAAAGAAUAAAUUAGUAUUGUUUGAAGCCACCUAGUUUGUGGUAAUUUGUGAUUGCAGCUCCAGGAUAUGAGUACAGCUCCCAUCAUCAUUUGCUAGGACUGGUGCAGUAGCCUCCUUACCUGACUAUGGGUUGCCUACAUAGCAGCCAGAGGGUUUUCUUGCAGAGUUCCUGUUGUGGCACAAUGGGAUUGGGGUUGGUGGUGUUUCUGUAAUGCCAGGACACAGGUUUAAUCCCUGGCCUGGCAUAGUGGGUUAAGGGACCUGCAUUGGCAUUGGUCACAACUGUGGCUCAGAUCUCUUCCCUGGCCUGGGAACUCUAUAUGCUGAGGGGCAGCCGAAAAAGAAAACAGACAAACAAACAAAAGGCUUUCUUUCAGACCUGUCUCUCCUGGCUCAGAGCCCUCCCUCUCAGUCAGCAUAAAAGCCAGCUCCUUGGAGUUCCUGUUUCGGCUCAGUGGUAAUGAAGCCGACUAGUGUCCCUAAGCACGUGGGUUUGAUCCCUGGCCUCGCUCAGUAGGUUAAGGAUCCAGUAUUGCCGUGAGCUGUAGUGUAGAUGGCAGAUGCAGCUCGGAUCCUGCGUUUCUGUGGCUGUGAUGCAGGCCAGCAGCUGCAGCUCUGAUUUGACCCUUAGCCUGGGAACUUACAUAUGCUGCAGGUGUGUCCCCAAAAAACCAAAAAAAAUAAAAGUAAACAAAGCCAACUCCUUAUCUUGCUGACAAGGCCCAAGGCCCAGCACUCCAUUCCCAUUCUGGCUCCCCUCCUGUUGCUCACUCUGAACCAGCCCUGCUGGCCUCUUUGCUGAAAUGCACUGACAUGCUCCUGCCUCAGGGCCUUUGCACUUGCUCUGCCUGCAACACUCUUCCUACAGGUGUCCAUGCUGCUUGUGUCAUUUCUUUGCCAUCUUUGCUCAGAUGUCAUCUUUGCUCAGAUGCUCUGUGGGUCCUUCUCUGGUCCUCUUAUUUAUUUAUUUAAUUUUUAUUUUUUUGCUUUUUAGGCUGCACCUGUGACAUAUGGACGUUCCCAUGCUAGGGGUCGAAUCAGAGCUGCAUCUACCAGCCUACGCCUCAGCCACAGCAACCCCAGAUCCGAGCUGUGUCUGCAACCUACACCGCAACUCAUGGCAAUGCCAGGUCCUUAACCUGAUGAGCAAUACCAGAGACCAUGUCCUCAUGGAUACCAGUCAGGUUCGUUACUGCUGAGCUGUAACGGGAACUCUGGGCUGGGUUCUUCUUGCACUCUGCCCCUCAGGGUCUACCUCUGUAAAAUGGGGAUAAAUGGAAAUUCCCUGGUGGCCUAGUGGUUAGGGAUCCAGUGUUGUCCCUGCUAUGGUGUGAGUUCAAUCCCUGGCCGGGGAACUUCCAUGUGCCAACGGCUCAGACCAAAAAAAAAAAAAAAAAAAAA